AAUCAGCGUAAUUUUUUAGCGUGAUGGACUUCUAAUCUAGGGGUCGUGGGUUCGAAUCCCACCUGGGUUG